UGCGGGGACCGGCUAGGGUCUCACACCCUCCAGGGAAUGAAUGGCUGCGACAUGGGGCCCGACGGACGCCUCCUCCGCGGGUAUCACCAGCACGCGUACGACGGCAAGGAUUACAUCUCCCUGAACGAGGACCUGCGCUCCUGGACCGCGGCGGACACCGUGGCUCAGAUCACCCAGCGCUUCUAUGAGGCAGAGGAAUAUGCAGAGGAGUUCAGGACCUACCUGGAGGGCGAGUGCCUGGAGUUGCUCCGCAGAUACUUGGAGAAUGGGAAGGAGACGCUACAGCGCGCAGAUCCUCCAAAGGCACACGUUGCCCACCACCCCAUCUCUGACCAUGAGGCCACCCUGAGGUGCUGGGCCCUGGGCUUCUACCCUGCGGAGAUCACGCUGACCUGGCAGCGGGAUGGGGAGGAACAGACCCAGGACACAGAGCUUGUGGAGACCAGGCCUGCAGGGGAUGGAACCUUCCAGAAGUGGGCCGCUGUGGUGGUGCCUUCUGGAGAGGAACAGAGAUACACAUGCCAUGUGCAGCACGAGGGGCUGCCCCAGCCCCUCAUCCUGAGAUGGGAGCAGUCUCCCCAGCCCACCAUCCCCAUCGUGGGCAUCGUUGCUGGCCUUGUUGUCCUUGGAGCUGUGGUCACUGGAGCUGUGGUCGCUGCUGUGAUGUGGAGGAAGAAGAGCUCAGAUAGAAACAGAGGGAGCUACUCUCAGGCUGCAGGUAAGAUGAAGGAGGCUGAUCCCUGAGAUUGUUGGGAUAUUGUGGUCAGGAGCCUAUGAGGGAGCUCACCCACCCCACAGUUCCUCUAGCCACAUCUGUGGGCUCUGACCAGGUCCUGUUUUUGUUCUACCCCAAUCACUGACAGUGCUCAGGGCUCUGGGGUGUCUCUCACAGCUAAUAAAGGUGACACUCCAGGGCAGGGGCCCUGAUGUGAGUGGGGUGUUGGGGGGGAACAGAGGGGACUCAGCUGUGCUAUUGGGUUUCUUUGACUUGGAUGUCUUGAGCAUGAAAUGGGCUAUUUAGAGUGUUACCUCUCACUGUGACUGAUACGAAUUUGUUCAUGAAUAUUUUCUCUAUAGUGUGAGACAGCUUCCUUGUGUGGGACUGAGAAGCAAGAUAUCAAUGUAGCAGAAUUGCACUUGUGCCUCACGAACAUACAUAAAUUUUAAAAAUAAAGAAUAAAAAUAUAUCUUUUUAUAGAUA
rnacentral:misc_RNA from 1 species